CCUACGGGUGGCAGCAGUGAGGAAUAUUGGUCAAUGGCCGGAACGCUGAACCAGCCAUGCCGCGUGAAGGUCAGUGUCCUAUGGGCGUUAAACUUCUUUCGUGAGGGAGCAAUAAUGGUCACGUGUGGCCAGACGAGCGUACCGUACGAAUAAGCAUCGGCUAACUCCGUGCCAGCAGCCGCGGUAAUACGGGGGAUGCAAGCGUUAUCCGGAGUUAGUGGGUUUAAAGGGUGCGUAGGCUGUGAGGUAAGUCAGCGGGGGAAUGCCCCCGCUCAACGGGGUGAAGUGACAUUGAUACUGCGUGGCUGGAGUGCGGAUGCCGUGGGAGGAAUGUGUGGUGUAGCGGUGAAAUGCAUAGAUAUCA
rnacentral:rRNA from 1 species